GAUGAACGCUGGCGGCGUGCCUAAUACAUGCAAGUCGAGCGAACAGAUGAGGAGCUUGCUCCUCUGACGUUAGCGGCGGACGGGUGAGUAACACGUGGAUAACCUACCUAUAAGACUGGUAUAACUUCGGGAAACCGGAGCUAAUACGGGAUAAUAUAUUGAUCCGCAUGGUUCAAUAGUGAAAGACGGUUUUGCUGGCACUUAUAGAUGGAUCCCGGCCGCGUUAGCUAGUUGGGAAGGUAACGAGUUACGAAGGGAACGAUGCGUAUCCGACCUGAGAGGGUGAUAGGCCACACGGGAACGGGGACGGGGUCAUGAGUCCUGAGGGAGGCAGCAGAAGGGAACCUGCCGCAAUGGUCGAGAGCCUGGCGGAGCAACGCGGCGUGAGUGGUGAAGGUCUUCGGAUCGGAAAACUCUGUUUUUAGGGAAGAACAAAUGUGUAAGUAGCUAUGCACGUCUUGACGGUACCUAAUCAGAAAGCCACGGCUAACUACGUG
rnacentral:rRNA from 1 species